rnacentral:rRNA from 1 species
UACGGGGGGGGCAAGCGUUGUUCGGAAUUACUGGGCGUAAAGGGCUCGUAGGUGGCCAACUAAGUCUGAUGUGAAAGCCCCGGGCUCAACCUGGGAACUGCAUUGGAUACUGGCGAUCUGGAGUGCGGUAGAGGGUGGCGGAAUUCCCGGUGUAGCAGUGAAAUGCGUAGAUAUCGGGAGGAACAUCCGUGGCGAAGGCGGCCACCUGGACCAGCACUGACACUGAGGCACGAAAGCGUGGGGAGCAAACGGG